rnacentral:rRNA from 1 species
UACAGAGGUCUCAAGCGUUGUUCGGAUUCAUUGGGCGUAAAGGGUGCGUAGGUGGUGAUGCAAGUCUGGUGUGAAAUCUCGGAGCUCAACUCCGAAAUUGCACCGGAUACUGCGUGACUCGAGGACUGUAGAGGAGAUCGGAAUUCACAGUGUAGCAGUGAAAUGCGUAGAUAUCGUGAGGAAGACCAGUUGCGAAGGCGGAUCUCUGGGCAGUUCCUGACACUGAGGCACGAAGGCCAGGGGAGCAAACGGG